UACGUAGGGUGCAAGCGUUAAUCGGAAUUACUGGGCGUAAAGCGUGCGCAGGCGGUUUUGUAAGCCAGAUGUGAAAUCCCCGGGCUUAACCUGGGAAUGGCAUUUGGGACUGCAAGGCUGGAGUGCGGCAGAGGAGACUGGAAUUCCUGGUGUAGCAGUGAAAUGCGCAGAUAUCAGGAGGAACACCGGUGGCGAAGGCGGGUCUCUGGGCCGAUGACUGACGCUGAGGAGCGAAAGCGUGGGGAGCAAACAGG
rnacentral:rRNA from 1 species